AGUGCAAUAGUUGUGUUUUUUUAUUAUUAAACAUCAGUGUAAGUCCUGAAAGUGGCACUGCAGGGGUAGCCUUUUACAGGGCUGUGAAGUGUCCUGGGCAGUGCUGACCCUCCCCUUCUUGAGGCACUUAGGCCCUGUGGAUGAGCAGCCUCUGCCUUGGUCAGUAGUGGUGAGGUUGCAACUGCAGUUGUGGGUAGAAGGUCAUAUUUCUGCCCUCUGUGGGGCUCCUCCAUUUCUGUGGAGGUGAAUGUGGUGGGAUGGGCAUGAAGACCCCCACAUAAUUUCUCUGACUUUUGAAGACAGAUGUGAAGAGGUCAUUGAGAACCUCAGCCUUUUCUUAUCAAUAGCCUUGUUCCCAAUUGCAUCCACUAAAGGAUGGAGAUUCUUGUUUGUCCUCUUACUUAUAUAUUUAUAAAUAUGUUUUUUUGUUCUGUUUUACUGUGGUGGGGAAAAAGCUUAGUUUUUUCCUUUCUACUCUUCUCCCUGCAUAUUCUAAUAACUUCUUUGUACUUUCCCUGGGCUGCCUGUCUCUUCUUCUACAGGAGGUAGGUUCUCUUUUUCUCCUGGAGUCUCAGAAAAAGUUUCCUGUUCAUUCACGCCAGCCUUUUUCCUGCCAUCUCAUCCUAUGGCACAGGAGGAUAGCCUGCUCCUGUGCCUCUAAGACUUCUGUCUGAACAGUUCAAAGUUUGCCCUCUGAAAGUCCAAAGUAGCAGUAAAACUGUACAGUUGUUGGUAGAGGAGUGGAUGGCACUCACAAGCAUCCUGCAGAGCAGGCUGGUGAGUUUCCUCCUGGUACACUGGAGGAUGCAGUGGAGGCAGAACCUGUGAUCACAGGGAGCAGCCAUGUGGGUGUCAGCUCUCACAUUGUGGCAGAUGGAGCGGAGUGCCUCCUCCUUGGCCAUGUUCUUCAUGCUGCAGCUGCCUGGGCGGAAGCUGGAGAUGAAAAGCUGUUUGCCUUCACUGCUGUGGCAGGUGCUGCACACUUCAGGAAGGGAGGCCACUGUCAGUGGCUGUCCUGGGGUAAGCAAGUAGCAGUACCUCAGUCCCUCAGCAGAAAGCUCUCCUGGCCUCUCUUGUGCUCCCUUCCAGCACAGGGUCAGGCUGCAGGUGUGGAUCUGACAGCUCCCCAAGCCCCAGCACCCACUCCAUGGUCACCCCAGAGACAUGUCCCCACAUCACUUUGCCUUGAGUGCACGUUGUAGGGCCUGUCUGCCAGGCAGGGCCAGGAAAACUCAGGUGAGACUGCAGGGAUGGGUACUGAGAAUAGCUUCCAGACCCCCACAGCACAACACAAGAUAGCCUUGCUAGAUCUCCAAGCUUUGAAAACAUGCUCAGCCAGAGAAUGGGUGCAAGCUUGGCUGGGCUGGGCUCUACUAUGUACCUGUAUAUGUAGUAGAGGUCCAUGAGAUCACAGUCCAUUGCCCAGUGACAUCACAUACCGUUACUUUGUGACAUCAAAGACACUUUCUUGGUAGUGUUACCCUAGGGAGGCCUGUUCAGCUCAAGAAAGCUAGAAAGGAACUCUUUAUAGGGAGUGAAGUGAUAGGACAGGAUUUCCAACCCAAACCACUCUGAAUCUACUUUGAGUGUUUCUCUGAAAAUGAUGUAUGAUUGAACAGAGACAAAUUAGAAGAGUAUGCAGAGAAAGAAGUCUGGGAAGGGGAGGUUAAAAGGAAAUCAUAUGCCCUUUACCACCCCAAUUUGCUCCUCCUGGAAACAUUCUCAGUGAUAGUCUAUAGAAUUCUGCAAGCUCGUUGGUCACUGAUUCAUCACUGCUGUAGUAAGGAUGAGAUGAGGUUACUAGAUUUCCUUGCUUAUGGAAUUGUUCAAAGGAUCGAUCAGCUUGGUGACUGAAAGACCCAAACAGCAAUAGAAGAUGGAACCAUUAGUGUGGAAGUGACAAGUUUUCUGUCAUGGACUGACUACUGUCAACUACUGUCAAAUGACAAUUCAUUACUCUCUUAAAAAAAAAUUAAAAUAAAUUCUGUCUUUC